GAGCGAACACUUCAGUUUUCAGCUCAUGUUCGUAGAAACUUGCCAUGGUUGCACCUCCUUACGGAGGGCUGCAGUCUCCACACCUUGCAGUGGCAAGCCGUUUCUGCUGGCCAGAAAAAGGAGUGAGGAAAGAGCUGUAGAAAUUUACUGAUUUUGUAAAUAUGAAUUCUUAUACCAAUGGAGAGCAGGUAUAGUGCCACUUCAUGACUGCAGGUGCCUGCACCUGUCAAGUAAAGAAAUGAAAAGAGUUGGCUAGUCAGAGACAAAGCAGCUCUCCAGACCAGUUUCUGUCCUUGUCUAGCAUGGGGAAUGCAGCUACGACAACAUCUAAGAUUAAGAAAGCAACAAGUGAUUCACGCAGCCUGGAGCCAGAUCUGCCCAAAACCUGGUUCGCUACACAGAAAAAUUAGUCCUGCUCCAGCCUUGUCAAACCUUGCCACAUGUCUACCCAAGCUCUCUUCAGGAAGCUGUCCAAAGCCUGACUCCCCAGAUGUGGUGGCAUGGCCAUUAACUGUUCCUGACCGAUGUCGAUAUACAUGAAAUGACAGCAUGACAAAGCUCUGACACGUUGUUAAAGGACAGCAUACAGGAUAGACGACAGAAACAAUACUGGAUGGAUAAGUUUUAGACUGUAAAAUAACAAAAACGUUGAUAUACUUAGUAAAGAUAAAGCCUUACAGUUUACAGUUCUGUCCCAGGCGCAGUAACAGCAAUUGCACCCUCUCCCUGGGCAGAGUGAGGCUGAAGGCCAUGGUAGCCAUCCAAAAGCUUAGGAGUGAGAAAGACCUUCCAAAACUACCUUCUCCAUCAGCCAUUGCUUGUGCAUUGCAGUGGACAGAAUUUGGCUCUCAGUACGGAAAUAUUCACUCCAGUGUAGACAAAAUUAAAUUGUGCUAUCCCAAGAAAGGAAGUCCAGGGCUGGCUGCUCCUGCCUUGGGAAAGGGAGAGCAGGACUGGGAAUCCUAAGAGGCGCAGCUUGCUUUUCACUCUAGGGAGGAGCAAGAACAGCAACAGGUUCUCCUCCGCAGUGUCCCCUCCUCAGCGAUUGCCCUCACGCCUCAGCCCUGGUCCCUCCUCCCUGGCAGCAGCAGAGGGUCCAGACACACACCACAGCCUCCUGGUCCCCUCCUAGAUCUAGCUCUUUGUUUCCACAUUGCCUUUGUGUAAACAACAUCCCCCUUCCACUUAAAAAUGCCAUAAAUCAAAACGAAGCAACAGACUGCUUCAAACCAAAGUGGCAAAGGGAGACUUCUGCAAAAAUUAAUUUUUUUAAUAGACCCUAGUCAGUUCUUUCAAAACUGCCACAGAGCAAAAGAGCAACUUCCUUCCUGCCCGCUUGUUUUGGUGCAGCUUUAUCAAUAUUGCCUCUUGUAUGCCCUGGAUUGCUCUUUAGUCAGGAGGAAAGAGCGCCUGGAGUGGUGGGCAGGCCAAAGCACCAGCAGUCUCUUUGGCUCUAGUCGUGUCUAGCUCCCUGAAGACUUCUGUGCGAGUGUCAUCACCUAUGAAAUGCUAUUUUUGCAAGCCUACUGAACUGGGAUUAGACAGUAUCGAUUUAUAUGUGUUAACCCCUUCACCUGAGAGCUGGAUAUUAUCUUGGAAUAGACAUAGUCUGAGAAGGAAUUUCUUUAACUUCACUUAGAACUGAGACACGGUUUCCUUUCUCUGUUGAUAAAUAACAGAAACAUCUAUAACAUUUCCUUAGUUUGGUAUAUCAACACUGUUUUGAGAAGAGAAAGAGAAGACCCACAGCAGAUUUAAAACAAAAUGACCUGGAAUAACAGCAGAUUAAUGGAACUACACAAAUGUGUGUGGGGGGGGGGAGGUCAGGCACUGUCUUUGUGACUGCUGCAUGGUUAUGUCAUGUCCCACUGUACUUGCCAGAUCAUGUUUCUUCAAUUAAAACACUUCACUCUUA